rnacentral:rRNA from 1 species
GACGAACGCUGGCGGCGUGCUUAACACAUGCAAGUCGAACGAUGACGACCGAGCUUGCUCGGUCUGAUUAGUGGCGAACGGGUGAGUAACACGUGAGCAACCUGCCCUUCACUCUGGGAUAACCUCGGGAAAUCGGGGCUAAUACCGGAUAUGAGCUCCUGUCGCAUGGCGGGUGUUGGAAAGUUUUUCGGUGAAGGAUGGGCUCGCGGCCUAUCAGUUUGUUGGUGAGGUAGUGGCUCACCAAGGCGAUGACGGGUAGCCGGCCUGAGAGGGCGACCGGCCACACUGGGACUGAGACACGGCCCAGACUCCUACGGGAGGCAGCAGUGGGGAAUAUUGCACAAUGGGCGAAGGCCUGAUGCAGCGACGCCGCGUGAGGGAUGACGGCCUUCGGGUUGUAAACCUCUUUCAGCAGGGAAGAAGCGAAAGUGACGGUACCUGCAGAAGAAGCGCCGGCUAACUACGUG